rnacentral:rRNA from 1 species
UACGGGGGGUGCGAGCGUUGUCCGGAAUCACUGGGCGUAAAGGGCGCGUAGGUGGUUUGAUAAGGCUGUGGUGAAAGCCCGGGGCUCAACCCCGGGUCUGCCGUGGCGACUGUCAGACUGGAGGGCUCGAGAGGCGGACGGAAUUCCGGGUGUAGCGGUGGAAUGCGUAGAGAUCCGGAAGAAGACCGGUGGCGAAGGCGGUCUGCUGGCGAGUACCUGACACUGAUGCGCGACAGCGUGGGGAGCAAACAGG